rnacentral:lncRNA from 1 species
AUAGCUUUCAUCAGUUCUGUUAAGGCUUGGAACCUAUCUCUCUCAUUUUGUGGAUUAUUUGCUUGUCCACUCAUCUUGUAUUAAGCUGCAAAAUAAAGUAAGUAAAGCAAAAGAAUAGUUCCUCACUUCACUCGCUCACGUGUUUCACUCAAAUAAUGGUAUCACUCAAUUUCACUCUGUGUUUAAAUUUUGGCUUUUCUCUAGAUGAACUCACACUCAGCCUUUUACCACUCCAAUUCUCUUGUU